rnacentral:rRNA from 1 species
GACGAACGCUGGCGGCGUGCUUAACACAUGCAAGUCGAACGGAAAGGCCCUGCUUUUGUGGGGUGCUCGAGUGGCGAACGGGUGAGUAACACGUGAGUAACCUGCCCUUUACUUUGGGAUAACUUCAGGAAACUGGGGCUAAUACCGGAUAGGAGCUCCUGCUGCAUGGUGGGGGUUGGAAAGUUUCGGCGGGUGGGGAUGGACUCGCGGCUUAUCAGCUUGUUGGUGGGGUAGUGGCUUACCAAGGCUUUGACGGGUAGCCGGCCUGAGAGGGUGACCGGCCACAUUGGGACUGAGAUACGGCCCAGAGUCCUACGGGAGGCAGCAGUGGGGAAUAUUGCACAACGGGCGGAAGCCUGAUGCAGCAACGCCGCGUGCGGGAUGACGGCCUUCGGGUUGUAAACCGCUUUCGCCUGUGACGAAGCGUGAGUGACGGUAAUGGGUAAAGAAGCACCGGCUAACUACGUG